GGGCCUUGGGUCCAUACAUGAUCCGAGGUCACCUGGGAUAAAAAUUUGGGUUGAUCGGCAAGCGCCGGCCGGGCCUACAGAGCGGGUGACAAAGCCCCAUACGCUCGAGGACCGGACGCGGUGCCGCCGCUGCCUUUCGGGCCCGUCCCCCGGAGAUCGGGGGACGGGGCCCAACACACAAGCCGGGCUUGAGGGCAGCAAUGACGCUCGGACAGGCAUGCCCCCCGGAAUACCAGGGGGCGCAAUGUGCGUUCAAAGACUCGAUGAUUCACUGAAUUUGCAAUUCACAUUACGUAUCGCAUUUCGCUGCGUUCUUCAUCGAUGCCGGAACCAAGAGAUCCGUUGUUGAAAGUUUUAAAUAAUUUAUAUUUUCACUCAGACUUCAAUCUUCAGACAGAGUUCGAGGGUGUCUUCGGCGGGCGCGGGCCCGGGGGCGUAAGCCCCCCGGCGGCCAGUUAAGGCGGGCCCGCCGAAGCAACAAGGUAAAAUAAACACGGGUGGGAGGUUGGACCCAGAGGGCCCUCACUCGGUAAUGAUCCUUCCGCAGGCACCCCUACCGAAAACCCUUU
rnacentral:misc_RNA from 1 species